UACGUAGGGUGCAAGCGUUAAUCGGAAUUACUGGGCGUAAAGCGUGCGCAGGCGGUUUUGUAAGUCUGUCGUGAAAGCCCCGGGCUCAACCUGGGAAUUGCGAUGGAGACUGCAAGGCUUGAAUCUGGCAGAGGGGGGUAGAAUUCCACGUGUAGCAGUGAAAUGCGUAGAGAUGUGGAGGAACACCGAUGGCGAAGGCAGCCCCCUGGGUCAAGAUUGACGCUCAUGCACGAAAGCGUGGGGAGCGAACGGG
rnacentral:rRNA from 1 species